CUCUAAUCGGAAGCUACGGCCCCCUUCUGGGCCGUGGAGAACGAAGCCACUGGGACCGUCCGGGGAGUGGAGUAAGCUCCUCCGAAGUCUUUCUGGAGAGACUCGGCCUGGGCGGGGGAACUCCGCCCACCCAACCCUUGGCAACCCUUGGAUAUUGGCAGUUAUACCAAUAACCAAGGUCCUGGUCUACACCUGUCCCCCCGACCCCCUUCCCCGCGUCAAAGACCACUGAUACCCGCAAGGAAAGCCGGAAAUUGUAUGCGAAUCACCUAAAUGAACUCCAGUUGCCAGCUGAUUUGAGCCGCUAAAUUCCCAGGCUCUUUCAUAUCUCUCCAGAGAACGCAUCUACAAGUAGGAAAAGCUAUCGUUUUCAUACCCUAAAAAUGAAACACUGUGGUAUUUCUGACAGAAAAUAAAGACCUCUAAAGGUGAA
rnacentral:lncRNA from 1 species